rnacentral:rRNA from 1 species
GACGAACGCUGGCGGCGUGCUUAACACAUGCAAGUCGAGCGAUGAAGUUCCUUCGGGAAUGGAUUAGCGGCGGACGGGUGAGUAACACGUGGGUAACCUGCCUCAUAGAGGGGAAUAGCCUUUCGAAAGGAAGAUUAAUACCGCAUAAGAUUGUAGUUUCGCAUGAAACAGCAAUUAAAGGAGUAAUCCGCUAUGAGAUGGACCCGCGUCGCAUUAGCUAGUUGGUGAGGUAACGGCUCACCAAGGCGACGAUGCGUAGCCGACCUGAGAGGGUGAUCGGCCACAUUGGGACUGAGACACGGCCCAGACUCCUACGGGAGGCAGCAGUGGGGAAUAUUGCACAAUGGGGGAAACCCUGAUGCAGCAACGCCGCGUGAGUGAUGACGGUCCUCGGAUUGUAAAACUCUGUCUUCAGGGACGAUAAUGACGGUACCUGAGGAGGAAGCCACGGCUAACUACGUGCCAGCAGCCGCCGCAG